rnacentral:rRNA from 1 species
GCUCAGGACGAACGCUGGCGGCGUGCGUAAUACAUGCAAGUCGAGCGGAUCUUCAUUAGCUUGCUUUUGAAGAUCAGCGGCGGACGGGUGAGUAACACGUGGGCAACCUGCCUGUAAGACUGGGAUAACUUCGGGAAACCGGAGCUAAUACCGGAUAAUCCUUUCCCUCACAUGAGGGAAAGCUGAAAGACGGUUUCGGCUGUCACUUACAGAUGGGCCCGCGGCGCAUUAGCUAGUUGGUGAGGUAACGGCUCACCAAGGCGACGAUGCGUAGCCGACCUGAGAGGGUGAUCGGCCACACUGGGACUGAGACACGGCCCAGACUCCUACGGGAGGCAGCAGUAGGGAAUCUUCCGCAAUGGACGAAAGUCUGACGGAGCAACGCCGCGUGAGCGAUGAAGGCCUUCGGGUCGUAAAGCUCUGUUGUCAGGGAAGAACAAGUAUCGGAGUAACUGCCGGUACCUUGACGGUACCUGACCAGAAAGCCACGGCUAACUACGUGCCAGCAGCCGCGGUAAUACGUAGGUGGCAAGCGUUGUCCGGAAUUAUUGGGCGUAAAGCGCGCGCAGGCGGUUCCUUAAGUCUGAUGUGAAAGCCCCCGGCUCAACCGGGGAGGGUCAUUGGAAACUGGGGAACUUGAGUGCAGAAGAGGAGAGCGGAAUUCCACGUGUAGCGGUGAAAUGCGUAGAGAUGUGGAGGAACACCAGUGGCGAAGGCGGCUCUCUGGUCUGUAACUGACGCUGAGGCGCGAAAGCGUGGGUUAGCGGGCAGGAUUAGAUACCCUGGUAGUCCACGCCGUAAACGAUGAGUGCUAAGUGUUAGAGGGUUUCCGCCCUUUAGUGCUGCAGCAAAC